rnacentral:rRNA from 1 species
GUGGGGAAUAUUGCACAAUGGGCGAAAGCCUGAUGCAGCGAUGCCGCGUGAGGGAAGAAGGUUUUAGGAUUGUAAACCUCUGUCUUUGGGGACGAUAAUGACGGUACCCAAGGAGGAAGCUCCGGCUAACUACGUGCCAGCAGCCGCGGUAAUACGUAGGGAGCGAGCGUUGUCCGGAAUUACUGGGUGUAAAGGGAGCGUAGGCGGGAUUGCAAGUCAGGUGUGAAAUUUAGGGGCUUAACCCCUGAACUGCACUUGAAACUGUAGUUCUUGAGUGAAGUAGAGGUAAGCGGAAUUCCUAGUGUAGCGGUGAAAUGCGUAGAUAUUAGGAGGAACAUCAGUGGCGAAGGCGGCUUACUGGGCUUUAACUGACGCUGAGGCUCGAAAGCGUGGGGAGCAAACAGG